CACAUUGCCGUUCGGUGCGUCGCGGGAGAAUUGAGCAUGAUGUCGCAGAUCCGCGGACGAGACCUUCAACACCAACACCUGCUUUCCGUAAACUGUCGUCUCCUUGCGCUGGAUGUCGAGAUCGAAGAGCUUGACAUAAGGCUU
rnacentral:misc_RNA from 1 species